GAUGAACGCUAGCUACAGGCUUAACACAUGCAAGUCGAGGGGCAGCGGGAUUGAAGCUUGCUUCAAUUGCCGGCGACCGGCGCACGGGUGAGUAACGCGUAUCCAACCUUCCGUACACUCAGGGAUAGCCUUUCGAAAGAAAGAUUAAUACCUGAUGGUAUGAUGAGAUUGCAUGAUAUCAUCAUUAAAGAUUUAUCGGUGUACGAUGGGGAUGCGUUCCAUUAGGUAGUAGGCGGGGUAACGGCCCACCUAGCCAACGAUGGAUGGGGGUUCUGAGAGGAAGGUCCCUCACAUUGGAACUGAGACACGGUCCAAACUCCUACGGGAGGCAGCAGUGAGGAAUAUUGGUCAAUGGACGAGAGUCUGAACCAGCCAAGUAGCGUGAAGGAUGAAGGUCCUACGGAUUGUAAACUUCUUUUAUAAGGGAAUAAACCCUCCCACGUGUGGGAGCUUGUAUGUACCUUAUGAAUAAGCAUCGGCUAACUCCGUG
rnacentral:rRNA from 1 species